AGAGUUUGAUCCUGGCUCAGAACGAACGCUGGCGGCAGGCUUAACACAUGCAAGUCGAACGCGUGUAGCAAUACACGAGUGGCGCACGGGUGAGUAACGCGUGGAUAUCUGCCUUUUGUCGGAAUAACCCCGGGAAACUGGGGCUAAUACCGAAUGGUUCCUACGGGAUAAAGAUUUAUCGCCAAAAGAUGAGUCCGCGUCCGAUUAGCUAGUUGGUGGGGUAACGGCCCACCAAGGCGACGAUCGGUAGCUGGUCUGAGAGGACGAUCAGCCACACUGGGACUGAGACACGGCCCAGACUCCUACGGGAGGCAGCAGUGGGGAAUAUUGGACAAUGGGGGCAACCCUGAUCCAGCCAUGCCGCGUGAGUGAUGAAGGCCUUCGGGUUGUAAAGCUCUUUUGGCGGGGACGAUGAUGACGGUACCCGCAGAAUAAGCCCCGGCUAACUUCGUGCCAGCAGCCGCGGUAAGACGAAGGGGGCUAGCGUUGUUCGGAAUUACUGGGCGUAAAGCGCGUGCAGGCGGUUGCCAAAGUCGGGUGUGAAAGCCUUGAGCUCAACUCAAGAAUUGCACUCGAUACUUGGUGACUAGAGGACCGGAGAGGAUAGUGGAAUUCCCAGUGUAGUGGUGAAAUACGUAGAGAUUGGGAAGAACACCAGUGGCGAAGGCGGCUAUCUGGACGGUUUCUGACGCUGAGACGCGAAAGCGUGGGGAGCAAACAGGAUUAGAUACCCCCGUAGUCC
rnacentral:rRNA from 1 species